UGCAGAAAGAACCAGGAAAAUGAACUUAAUCAUGAGGACUGGGGAGAGUUCCUACAGAGCCUGCUUCUCCUUUCACUCAUCUUUCAGUGAGAUUAAAGAUUUCUUGA